rnacentral:tRNA from 1 species
GCCCGAAUGGCGGAAUUGGUAGACGCAGGGGACUCAAAAUCCCCCGGCCUUGCGGCUGUGCGAGUUCGAGUCUCGCUUCGGGCACCA